CUAUUUAUAAUGUGGCUUAGAGAAGCAGGAGCUAUCAACUUGAUAGCAGCAGCUCUUCCUCGCCGACCGGUUCAAGAGACAGCUGUAGGAGCAGGUCCUGCAGCCAUCAUUGCUGGUGAUAAAAUCUGGUCUAAGAAUAAUGAAGAUGAUUGUUUCUUGGUGGAACCUGUGCAAGAAGUGGAAAAAAGUUACUUUUACAGAAAAGAAGAAAUGGUUGUAGCGAGCUUUGCAAAGUAGAUCUACCCAAAACGGCUCGACCCAAAACUGAACUGUGUUAUGUGACUCAAUUCCACUUACCACUAUACUUACACUUGUUUUUAUGAAUUUUAUUCUCUAUAUUGUAUAUAUAAGUUUUCUCUGUAUUGGACUAUUGUUUAUAUUUCCAUAUUUUAUUGUAUAAUUAUUUUGUUCAUCAUCUGUUUACUGGUCAAAAA